CAGCCCCUCGAGUGGUGGGGAUGAUUAUUUGGCCUAAAGCGUCCGUAGCCGGCCGGGUAAGUUUCCCGUUAAAUCCAACGUCUCAAGCGUUGGACUGCGGGAAAUACUGCCUGGCUAGAGAGUGGGAGAGGUCAGCGGUAUUCUGGGGGUAGGGGCGAAAUCCUUUGAUCCCCGGAGGACCACCAGUGGCGAAGGCUGCUGACUAGAACACGUCUGACGGUCAGGGACGAAAGCUGGGGUAGCGAACCGGAUUAGAUACCCGAGUAGUCC
rnacentral:rRNA from 1 species